GAUUAUGGCUCAGAACGAACGCUGGCGGCGCGCUUAAGCAUGCAAGUCGAACGGCAAGAGGUAGCAAUACCUCCUAGAGUGGCGGACUGGUGAGUAACACGUGGGUGACAUACCCUCCAGAUGGGGAUAGCUAUUAGAAAUAGUAGACAAUACCGAAUACGAGCACAGGGGUUAGAGAUCUGUGAGGAAAGGAGCUAAGGCUCCGCUGAAGGAAUGGCCUGCGGCCCAUUAGCUAGUUGGUGAGGUAAGAGCCCACCAAGGCGAUGAUGGGUAUCCGGCCUUAGAGGGUGAACGGACACAUUGGGACUGAGAUACGGCCCAGACUCCUACGGGAGGCAGCAGCUAAGAAUAUUCCGCAAUGGACGAAAGUCUGACGGAGCGACGCCGCGUGGAUGAAGAAGGCCGGAAGGUUGUAAAAUCCUUUUGAAACUGAAGAAUAAGCGUUGUAGGGAAUGACAGCGUGGUGACAGUAGGUUUUGAAUAAGCAACGGCUAAUUACGUGCCAGCAGCGGC
rnacentral:rRNA from 1 species